GGAGGGCUAAAUCUGAUCUCUACCUCCUCGAGGUGCCCUCCGGACAACUGCUUAAGCGAGCAGGCUAACAGAGACAG
rnacentral:ribozyme from 1 species